GAUGAACGCUGGCGGCGUGCCUAAUACAUGCAAGUCGAGCGAACGGACGAGAAGCUUGCUUCUCUGAUGUUAGCGGCGGACGGGUGAGUAACACGUGGAUAACCUACCUAUAAUACUGGGAUAACUUCGGGAAACCGGAGCUAAUACCGGAUGAUCUUUUGAACCGCAUGGUUCAAAAGUGAAAGACGGUCUUGCUGUCACUUAUAGAUGGAUCCGCGCUGCAUUAGCUAGUUGGUAAGGUAACGGCUUACCAAGGCAACGAUGCAUAGCCGACCUGAGAGAGUGGUCGGCCGCACUGGAACUGAGACACGGUCCAGACUCCUACGGGAGGCAGCAGUAGGGAAUCUUCCGCAAUGGGCGAAAGCCUGACGGAGCAACGCCGCGUGAGUGAUGAAGGUCUUCGGAUCGUAAAACUCUGUUAUUAGGGAAGAACAUAUGUGUAAGUAACUGUGCACAUCUUGACGGUACCUAAUCAGAAAGCCACGGCUAACUACGUG
rnacentral:rRNA from 1 species